rnacentral:rRNA from 1 species
UUUUGAACCGCAUGGUUCGGGGGGGCCCCGCGCGUAUUUAUUGAAAUUGAAAGGCGGCUUCGGCUGUCACUUAUGGAUGGACCCGCGUCGCAUUAGCUAGUUGGUGAGGUAACGGCUCACCAAGGCAACGAUGCGUAGCCGACCUGAGAGGGUGAUCGGCCACACUGGGACUGAGACACGGCCCAGACUCCUACGGGAGGCAGCAGUAGGGAAUCUUCCGCACCCGGGCGCGCGCGUUUAAAUAUAUAUAUAUUAAAAAUUUUGGGAUGGACGAAAGUCUGACGGAGCAACGCCGCGUGAGUGAUGAAGGCUUUCGGGUCGUAAAACUCUGUUGUUAGGGAAGAACAAGUGCUAGUUGAAUAAGCUGGCACCUUGACGGUACCUAACCAGAAAGCCACGGCUAACUACGUGCCAGCAGCCGCGGUAAUACGUAGGUGGCAAGCGUUAUCCGGAAUUAUUGGGCGUAAAGCGCGCGCAGGUGGUUUCUUAAGUCUGAUGUGAAAGCCCACGGCUCAACCGUGGAGGGUCAUUGGAAACUGGGAGACUUGAGUGCAGAAGAGGAAAGUGGAAUUCCAUGUGUAGCGGUGAAAUGCGUAGAGAUAUGGAGGAACACCAGUGGCGAAGGCGACUUUCUGGUCUGUAACUGACACUGAGGCGCGAAAGCGUGGGGAGCAAA